GGACCCGCACAAGCGGUGGAGCAUGUGGUUUAAUUCGAUGCAACGCGAAAAACCUUACCUAUACUUGACAUACUUGGAAUGCUUUGUAAUGAAGCAGUGCCUUCGGGAGCCAGGAUACAGGUGCUGCAUGGCUGUCGUCAGCUCGUGUCGUGAGAUGUUCCGUUAAGUCGGAUAACGAGCGCAACCCUUACCCUUAUUUGCCAGCGAUUCGGUCGGGAACUAUAAGGGGACUGCCGGUGAUAAACCGGAGGAAGGUGAGGACGACGUCAAGUCAUCAUGGCCCUUACGUAUAGGGCUACACACGUGCUACAAUGGGGAAUACAGACGGACGCUAAGCCGCGAGGUGGUGCUAAUCCUAGAAAAUUCUUCGUAGUCCGGAUUGGAGUCUGCAACUCGACUCCAUGAAGUCGGAAUCGCUAGUAA
rnacentral:rRNA from 1 species